GGCUCAGAACGAACGCUGGCGGCAGGCCUAACACAUGCAAGUCGAGCGAGGACUUCGGUUCUAGCGGCGGACGGGUGAGUAACGCGUCGGGAAUGUGCCCUUCUCUACGGAAUAGCCCUGGGAAACUGGGAGUAAUACCGUAUACGCCCUUUUGGGGAAAGAUUUAUCGGAGAAGGAUCAGCCCGCGUUGGAUUAGGUAGUUGGUGGGGUAAUGGCCUACCAAGCCGACGAUCCAUAGCUGGUUUGAGAGGAUGAUCAGCCACACUGGGACUGAGACACGGCCCAGACUCCUACGGGAGGCAGCAGUGGGGAAUCUUAGACAAUGGGGGCAACCCUGAUCUAGCCAUGCCGCGUGAGUGAUGAAGGCCUUAGGGUUGUAAAGCUCUUUCAGCUGGGAAGAUAAUGACGGUACCAGCAGAAGAAGCCCCGGCUAACUCCGUGCCAGCAGCCGCGGUAAUACGGAGGGGGCUAGCGUUGUUCGGAAUUACUGGGCGUAAAGCGCACGUAGGCGGACCGGA
rnacentral:rRNA from 1 species